rnacentral:rRNA from 1 species
CCUACGGGUGGCAGCAGUGAGGAAUAUUGGUCAAUGGACGCAAGUCUGAACCAGCCAUGCCGCGUGCAGGAAGACGGCUCUAUGAGUUGUAAACUGCUUUUGUACGAGGGUAAACGCAGAUACGCGUAUCUGUCUGAAAUUAUCGUACGAAUAAGGAUCGGCUAACUCCGUGCCGGCAGCCGCGGUAAUACGGAGGAUUCAAGCGUUAUCCGGAUUUAUUGGGUUUAAAGGGUGCGUAGGCGGUUGGGUAAGUUAGAGGUGAAAUCCCGAGGCUCAACUUCGGAAUUGCAUCUGAUACUGUUAGGCUUGAGAGUAGUAGAGGUAGGCGGAAUGUAUGGGGUAGCGGUGAAAUGCUUAGAGAUCAGACAGAACACCGAUUGCGAAGGCAGCUUACCAGGCGACUGCUGACGUUGAGGCACGAAAGCGUGGGGAGCAAACAGGAUUAGAUACCCCUGUAGUC